AGAAGCUACCAGGUCUUUGUCCACCUCCCUGCUUUACUGUGGAGACCCUGCAGCCCAGAGAGGGUGGGAGCCUUGCCCAAGGCCACACAGCCAGUGCCUAGCAGGAUGAGCAUACCCACUCCUGACUCUCAGUACCCAGCUUCAGAUAGAAGCAGUCGAGGGGCUUGAGGCCCUCGGGCGUCUUGACGUACUUGGGCUCGCCCAGCAUGCCGAUGUACACCGUCACCUGGAAGUGGUUCUUCUUCUGGCACACAAAGGCGUCAUCGCCCACCGAAAAGUUGAAGCCCUUGUCCGCGUCCACGCGGUAGGUUUCACUUUUAUCAGUGUUCAGGAAAAAGAACAAACUCAGCCCAAGAGGUCAACACGUCCUGCGUGAACCCUGUGCUCACCCAGCAAGUGGAAGGCUGUGGCCAUAUGGGAUCCAGCUCUUUGGCCAUCCCUGGUCCCCACAUCUGGAGCAACUCCCCAUUCCCGUGCCCAGGGAACUGCCAGAGAGGGCAUGGCCCUGUUGUGGACACAGCCCCGGGGCUGGCUCCAGAGUCCACCUGCAUCCCUGUGCCAGCCACCCACCCACCCACCUUCGGGGCCUCAUGUAGAGACCUAUACAAUGAUUCAAGAACACAGACCCUGCACGUUUUAUGUGAAUAAUACAAAAACGUGUAUGGGGACUC